CAGCAGCCGCGGUAAUACGUAGGGUGCGAGCGUUAUCCGGAUUUAUUGGGCGUAAAGGGCUCGUAGGCGGUUCGUCGCGUCCGGUGUGAAAGUCCAUCGCCUAACGGUGGAUCUGCGCCGGGUACGGGCGGGCUGGAGUGCGGUAGGGGAGACUGGAAUUCCCGGUGUAACGGUGGAAUGUGUAGAUAUCGGGAAGAACACCAAUGGCGAAGGCAGGUCUCUGGGCCGUCACUGACGCUGAGGAGCGAAAGCGUGGGGAGCGAACAGGAUUAGAUACCCUGGUAGUCCACGCCGUAAACGGUGGAUGCUGGAUGUGGGGCCCUUUCCACGGGUCCCGUGUCGGAGCCAACGCGUUAAGCAUCCCGCCUGGGGAGUACGGCCGCAAGGCUAAAACUCAAAGAAAUUGACGGGGGCCCGCACAAGCGGCGGAGCAUGCGGAUUAAUUCGAUGCAACGCGAAGAACCUUACCUGGGCUUGACAUGUGCCGGAUCGCCGUGGAGACACGGUUUCCCUUCGGGGCCGGUUCACAGGUGGUGCAUGGUCGUCGUCAGCUCGUGUCGUGAGAUGUUGGGUUAAGUCCCGCAACGAGCGCAACCCUCGCCGCAUGUUGCCAGCGGGUGAUGCCGGGAACUCAUGUGGGACCGCCGGGGUCAACUCGGAGGAAGGUGGGGAUGACGUCAGAUCAUCAUGCCCCUUACGUCCAGGGCUUCACGCAUGCUACAAUGGCCGGUACAACGCGGUGCGACACGGUGACGUGGGGCGGAUCGCUGAAAACCGGUCUCAGUUCGGAUCGCAGUCUGCAACUCGACUGCGUGAAGGCGGAGUCGCUAGUAAUCGCGGAUCAGCAACGCCGCGGUGAAUGCGUUCCCGGGCCUUGUACACACCGCCCGUCAAGUCAUGAAAGUGGGUAGCACCCGAAGCCGGUGGCCCGACCCUUGUGGGGGGAGCCGUCUAAGGUGAGACUCGUGAUUGGGACUAAGUCGUAACAAGGUAGCCGUACCGGAAGGUGCGGCUG
rnacentral:rRNA from 1 species